rnacentral:rRNA from 1 species
CGUCUCCUUAAUGAUUUUAGGUGCUUGCACUUGAGAGAUUUAACAUUGAGACGAGUGGCGAACUGGUGAGUAACACGUGGGUAACCUGCCCUUGAAGUAGGGGAUAACACUUGGAAACAGGUGCUAAUACCGUAUAACAACCAAAACCACCUGGUUUUGGUUUAAAAGACGGCUUCGGCUGUCACUUUAGGAUGGACCCGCGGCGUAUUAGCUUGUUGGUAAGGUAACGGCCUACCAAGGCGAUGAUACGUAGCCGACCUGAGAGGGUAAUCGGCCACAUUGGGACUGAGACACGGCCCAAACUCCUACGGGAGGCAGCAGUAGGGAAUCUUCCACAAUGGACGAAAGUCUGAUGGAGCAACGCCACGUGAGUGAUGAAGGGUUUCGGCUCGUAAAACUCUGUUGUUGGAGAAGAACAGGUGUCAGAGUAACUGUUGACAUCUUGACGGUAUCCAACCAGAAAGCCACGGCUAACUACGUGCCAGCAGCCGCGGUAAUACGUAGGUGGCAAGCGUUGUCCGGAUUUAUUGGGCGUAAAGCGAGCGCAGGCGGUUUUUUAGGUCUGAUGUGAAAGCCUUCGGCUUAACCGGAGAAGUGCAUCGGAAACCGGGAGACUUGAGUGCAGAAGAGGACAGUGGAACUCCAUGUGUAGCGGUGAAAUGCGUAGAUAUAUGGAAGAACACCAGUGGCGAAGGCGGCUGUCUGGUCUGUAACUGACGCUGAGGCUCGAAAGCAUGGGUAGCGAACAGGAUUAGAUACCCUGGUAGUCCAUGCCGUAAACGAUGAGUGCUAAGUGUUGGAGGGUUUCCGCCCUUCAGUGCUGCAGCUAACGCAUUAAGCACUCCGCCUGGGGAGUACGACCGCAAGGUUGAAACUCAAAGGAAUUG